UCUUCAUGGUGUUAGAGCUGCAGUCGAUCUGUGGACUCAAAAAAAAAAAAAAAAAAAUCUUGUCAUCUGCUUCAUGCUUCAUGCUUCAUGCUUCAUGCUUCAUGCUUCCUUCUUCCUUCAAACAGACAAUGGUCACCCACGCAGUUUUAAGCUUCCGACAAACAGAUCCAGAUAAGAAGAAAAGUUUCUUCCUUUCUCAAGUGCUCGUGUCUUCAUUCUUCUCAAGCAUUGGCGGCGCUCCAGGAGUAACAGCCGACCAGAAGAAGACCGUCGCGAGCACGCUGCCAGCAAGCUUUUAUGUCUCUUCAACAACAUUGCUCUUCUGUAGAUGUGAUACUCCAAGGUGCUUUGCUGGGACGAGUUCAUAACGGACCAGAAAGAAAGAGGAAUCUUCCUGAAGAUUCAGAUUCCACACCAUUUAUCCACGGUAUCAUCUAUGUUUCUCUCUUUCGAGACAGAGAAGAGGAUGAAAAAAAAAAAUGUUGUGUCUUGGAUUGUCUUGCUGGCUGGUUUAGAUUUUUUGGUAUGGAACGUGAAGUUAGAUGAGUAGGCUGCGGUUAGUUAUAACAAUGGGUUUAUGGAAGCAAGUCUGGUUUUGUAAAAGCACACAAAGUGCUCGUUGAAAUGUCAACGUGAAAGGCAGGUUGUUUAGAAGCACAACUUUGGUGGUACAUAGAUGGAACGCAGAGAUUGAGUAGAGCUUUGUUUAGUAGGUGUGGAAACAGUUUUUCAUUAGACAUAUUAGAAGAAUGAAAUAGGUAAUGGAAACCUAUAUUCAUAGUGAGAUAAAGAGGUCACAAUUAUACCUCUGAGUGAGAUCAACUAAGCUCUCCAAGUUCAAAAGAAACCUCUGAGUGAAGCCAUGUGAUACUCUCCAAAUAUAGGCCUGAAUAGAUCUCACACUAAUGUUUGUCUACAAUGGUGAAUAGAGCCAUUUACCAACACUACAAGCAUAAUGCUUCAACUCUUCAUGUCUCCUUCAAAGCCAUCUUCAGGUGCAUUCAAACUUGUCAGCUUUGUGUUCACCCGCUGCCAAGUUUGCGGGGGGAGUAUUGAAGCCCACAUGAGAAGCCCAGUUUCUGAUCCAAUAAGAAGUCUUAGUGAACCAUGUAACUAAGGUUUAUAAGUCUAUAUAUAUGUCGUUAGUGUCCUCAUCAAUGUAACCUUGGUUGCCAUAGUUGCAGCCACUUUAAACUCCUUUUAUAAUAUCAAUCAUUAUACUUAGCU